rnacentral:rRNA from 1 species
GCGCAGGCCUACACAUGCAGUCGAGCGGAACGAUCCUAGCUUGCUAGGAGGCGUCGAGCGGCGGACGGGUGAGUAAUGCAUAGGAAUCUGCCCGAUAGUGGGGGAUAACCUGAGGAAACUCAGGCUAAUACCGCAUACGUCCUACGGGAGAAAGCAGGGGCUCUUCGGACCUUGCGCUAUCGGAUGAGCUUAUGUCGGAUUAGCUGGUUGGUGAGGUAAUGGCUCACCAAGGCGACGAUCCGUAGCUGGUCUGAGAGGAUGAUCAGCCACAUCGGGACUGAGACACGGCCCGAACUCCUACGGGAGGCAGCAGUGGGGAAUAUUGGACAAUGGGGGCAACCCUGAUCCAGCCAUGCCGCGUGUGUGAAGAAGGCCCUCGGGUUGUAAAGCACUUUCAGUGAGGAAGAAUGCUUGUCGGUUAAUACCCGGCAAGGGAGACAUCACUCACAGAAGAAGCACCGGCUAACUCCGUGCCAGCAGCCGCGGUAAUACGGAGGGUGCGAGCGUUAAUCGGAAAUUACUGGGCCGUAAAAGCGCGCCGUAGGCGGCCUUGAUAAACCGGGUUGUGAAAGCCCCGGGCCUCAACCCUGGGAACGGCCAUCCGGGAACUGUCAGGCUUAGAGUGCAGGAGAGGAAAGGUAGAAUUCCCGGUGUAGCGGUGAAAUGCGUAGAGAUCGGGAGGAAUACCAGUGGCGAAGGCGGCCUUCUGGACUGACACUGACGCUGAGGUGCGAAAGCGUGGGUAGCAAACAGGAUUAGAUACCCUGGGUAGUCCACGCCGUAAACGAUGUCGACUAACCCGUUGGGGGUCCUCGAGACCUUUUGUGGGCGCAGUUAACCGCACUAAGGUCGACCCGCCUGGGGGAGUACCGGCCGCAAGGGUUAAAACUCAAAUGGAAUUGGACGGGGGGCCCCGCACAAAGCGGGGGGAAGCAUGGUGGGUUUAAUUUCGAUGGCAACGCGAAGAACCUUACCUACCCUUGACAUCGUGCGAACUUGGUAGAGAUACCUUGGUGCCUUCGGGAACGCACAGACAGGUGCUGCAUGGCUGUCGUCAGCUCGUGUUGUGAAAUGUUGGGUUAAGUCCCGUAACGAGCGCAACCCUUGUCCCUAUUUGCCAGCGAUUCGGUCGGGAACUCUAGGGAGACUGCCGGUGACAAACCGGAGGAAGGUGGGGACGACGUCAAGUCAUCAUGGCCCUUACGGGUAGGGCUACACACGUGCUACAAUGGCCGGUACAAUGGGCUGCAAAGCGGCGACGUGGAGCUAAUCUCAUAAAGCCGGUCUCAGUCCGGAUCGGAGUCUGCAACUCGACUCCGUGAAGUCGGAAUCGCUAGUAAUCGUGCAUCAGAAUGGCACGGUGAAUACGUUCCCGGGCCUUGUACACACCGCCCGUCACACCAUGGGAGUGGACUGCACCAGAAGUGGUUAGCCUAACUUCGGAGGGCGAUCACCACGGUGUG